UCAUGAGUCUCUGAAAAGUAGCUGGG
rnacentral:piRNA from 1 species